rnacentral:rRNA from 1 species
UGGGGAAUAUUGGACAAUGGGCGAAAGCCUGAUCCAGCCAUGCCGCGUGUGUGAAGAAGGUCUUCGGAUUGUAAAGCACUUUAAGUUGGGAGGAAGGGCAGUAAGCGAAUACCUUGCUGUUUUGACGUUACCGACAGAAUAAGCACCGGCUAACUCUGUGCCAGCAGCCGCGGUAAUACAGAGGGUGCAAGCGUUAAUCGGAAUUACUGGGCGUAAAGCGCGCGUAGGUGGUUCGUUAAGUUGAAUGUGAAAGCCCCGGGCUCAACCUGGGAACUGCAUCCAAAACUGGCGAGCUAGAGUAGGGCAGAGGGUGGUGGAAUUUCCUGUGUAGCGGUGAAAUGCGUAGAUAUAGGAAGGAACACCAGUGGCGAAGGCGACCGCCUGGGCUCAUACUGACGCUGAGGUGCGAAAGCGUGGGGAGCAAACAGG